rnacentral:rRNA from 1 species
GAUGAACGCUGGCGGCGUGCCUAAUACAUGCAAGUCGAGCGAACAGACGAGGAGCUUGCUCCUCUGACGUUAGCGGCGGACGGGUGAGUAACACGUGGAUAACCUACCUAUAAGACUGGGAUAACUUCGGGAAACCGGAGCUAAUACCGGAUAAUAUAUUCAACCGCAUGGUUCAAUAGUGAAAGACGGUUUUGCUGUCACUUAUAGAUGGAUCCGCGCCGCAUUAGCUAGUUGGUAAGGUAACGGCUUACCAAGGCGACGAUGCGUAGCCGACCUGAGAGGGUGAUCGGCCACACUGGAACUGAGACACGGUCCAGACUCCUACGGGAGGCAGCAGUAGGGAAUCUUCCGCAAUGGGCGAAAGCCUGACGGAGCAACGCCGCGUGAGUGAUGAAGGUCUUCGGAUCGUAAAACUCUGUUAUUAGGGAAGAACAAAUGUGUAAGUAACUAUGCACGUCUUGACGGUACCUAAUCAGAAAGCCACGGCUAACUACGUG